AAGCAUAUUUUUUCUCUUGCUCACUUUGCUGUCUUUUCUCAUCAACGUUGCUUUUCAAAUUAGAUAAAAAAGAGUAAAAAAACAGAGGGGCUUUUGACGUGUGUAGAAAAAAAAUUUCUCGACAAGAAAAAAUACUGCAAUGAAUAGAAGUUCUAACAGAAUUAAGGGAAUCCAGAUAUGUCAGUUCUGAUAUUAUUGCAAAAAGGGCAGAGAGAGGGUAGGGAGCGGAUGGGGUGAACAAUAAAAGAGGGAUAAUGAAGGGGGCCUGUGAAAAGGAAUGGGCCCUCUGAUUAGUAAAGGCUGCAACAGGAAAUGAAUGGAACUGCACUUCCGCCUACCAUCAACUAGUAGGAGUGGUGUGGUCUAAUAACCAUCUCCUUCACUUUUGGUUCGUAUAUAGCUCACUCCAUCUUUAUUUAUCUAUUUUUUUUACUGAAACAAGAAUUAAAAAGUAAUGAAUAGUAAGAAUAAUUUUAUAAUAUUAUUUUUUAAAUAUAAUAAAUUUAAUAUUUUAAAAAAUAUAUUAAAUAAUAAGUCAUAUUUAAUGUUAAGCAUAAAAUAGAUAAAAUAGAUAAGAUUUAAAUUAUCUAUAAUUUUUUUUAAAUUAUAAAUAUAAUUCACUUAGAUAUCUCAACACAAUCUUAUACUUAUUGAAUACCACUAUCACUUUGAGUUUAAACUACUUAAAUAUAUUUUGAUGGUAUGACUUAAUGAGUGUACAACACCUGCAAUAGAUGUGUCAGGAGUUUUUUUUUUUUUUUUGUCAAAUUCCUUUUUUUUCUUUGUUUUCGUCAUUGUAUUCUUGUUCCAAAUUCACCACCACCUUCCAUUAUAUUUUCUUGCCGAAAAAAUGAAGUCCAUCACCCAAAUUAUACUUCCUCUCUUUCUCUCUCUGUUUUUCUCUUCCUCUUGCAACCCCCACCCCUGCCUCCACCUUCUCUUCUUCCCAACAAAAUAAAUUCGAAUAGAAAAAAAUAAAGAGCAGAUCUAAAAUAAAAGAAAAAGAACAAAUUCUGAAAAAGAAAAAAACAUUAAUUUAAAGUGAAAUGAAGAAAAAACACAUAAAAGAAAAAAAAAGAAAUAUGAUGUAUUCAAGGGAAAUGUUAUGUCUACGCGUUCUUCCUCAUUUCACUUUUCAAAUUCAAUUAAUUUCUUAAUUAUUAGAUAAAAUUGAUUUUUUUUUUAUUGUAAUGAUUUGUCAAUUUUUAUGUUAAAAGAUGAUGUUUUUCUUGAAUUUUUUCAACGGAUUUUGCAUUGGUUUUUGUUUUGAAGUUUUAUGUCAUUAAUAAGCUUGAAAUGGAGAUGAUAGCUUUUGACAUGGUAGAUGAAGGUGAAGGCGUUCGGAGGGGGUGACAGUGAAGGCUGAUUAGAGUUAGGAUUUCAGUAAUUUAUUAUUUUUUUUAUCUUUUACUCAUAAUUUUUUUUUUUAAAUUUCAUAUCCGAAGUUGCGAUCAGAUUUAUUCAUUAAAACAAAAUUGAUUCAAUACAUUUCUUAUGUACCCGUAGAUACUAUAUUGGAUUUGAAUCAUAUUGUGGAUUGAUCUAUAUUGAGUGGCUCCCUCUAACCCCUAAAAUCGUUAAUUUUUUUGAAAUUAUAUGUCACAUGCACUAAUAUAAUUGAUUACUUUACCACGUCGUCGCAAGUGUACUACACUCAUUUUAUAUUUUGAUUGAUUAAUAAAAAAUAUCUAAUAGGGACAUAUUUUGAGUGGUUUAAGUGCUUAAUAGGUACAAAGAUUAGUUGAGGGGUUUAAGUGAAAUCUCGAAACAAGUUUAAGGGUCUGUUAGUGACUUAAGUAAAUAGAUAAUUAUUCACUAAUUUUAUAAAUUGGAUAAGUAUUUUUGAACAUCUCAAAAUAAAAAAGUGGACAUGUAAAAAUAGACGAAGGGAGUAGUAGUUUGCUCAAAUUCAUUUGAUGUUACACAUUUUUAGUUUAGUAGCCGUUUGACCAUGAAUUUUUUUUUUUGGAGUUGGAGUUGGAGUUGAAGAUGAAGUUGGAGUUGGAGUUGUGCUUGACCAUGUCUUUUUGAAUUGUUUUUUUAGACUUCUGAAAAAUCUUUUUUAAAUAUGAUUUUAUGCCCUCAACUUUUAAAAAUUAUCAAAAUAACUCAACUAUUAAUUUACCUACUAACAUACAAUCAAAUAUUGAGAAAAUAAUUUAUAUGUCUUUAAUUGAUAAAAUAAACGUCCUUCUUCUUCGAUCAAGCAGCCGGCGCCGGCAACAGGUAAGUCUACACUCCUUGCCUCUCUCUCGAGAGAUCCUUCUCUCCCCUCCUAUCUCCCCCAGCUCUCCAGAUGACUUUCCUCUCUUUCUCCCUCCCUUCUUGGCUAUCUUUCGCUGUUAUAGCAGGCAAGACUAGGGUUUUUGCCUGCACAACUUGGACGACGGUCCCUAGAACGCAAAACCGGUCAUGCCCAGUUGAAGCUCCAACGACAGCGACAGUCGACGACAGCUUUUCGAUAACGUUAUUUUUAGCAAACAACUCAAAAAGCAAAAUUGACGAUACCAUCAGCACACAGGAGUACCCUGGUGACAGCUAAGCUUUGAUAUUUACAUACUUUUAGUAGUUAUUAUUUUACUGUUUUGUUUGUAUUACUUUUUUUCUUGUGAGUAUAGUUUGUAUAGGUUUGCUGUAUCUUAUUGAUGGAUAUCUAUGUGUUGUUGUAGCUGUUAGGAUGGAUCGGGUAUUUUUAUGAAUGAAUACCGUUUCUUUACUGCUUUCUUUAUUUUCUUUUUCUUCUUUUCUAUUGGUGUUUUAUUUUUUGUGUCUACUUGUCUAUCAGCUUAGGGCUUUGUUUCGGUUUGGUUUUGGCCUUAAGUGGUGGUUGUAGGAGUUGAUGGUGGAACAGGGUCAUGUCCGAGGGGGUUGGGGAUGGGGCCGGCUUUGUAUGGGGGUAAAGAGAGGCGGUCAAGGAUAGGUGUAGGAUCUAGGUCGGGUGUUAGGACUGGGGCGGUGAGUGGUGGUAGAGAUAGGCGAGAGGUGAGAGUAUAUAGGUUGAGGGUAGGGUCUUGGAAUAUAGGGACCUUCAAGGUAAGUCCAUAGAGCUGGUGAAGAUUCUUAAGAGGAAGGAGAUUAAUAUUGCUUGCGUUCAGGAGAAUAAGUGGUUAGGGUCUAAAGCUAGGGAUGUGGAUGGGUAUAAGCUGUGGUACUCAGGGAGUGACAGGCGUCAGAAUGGUGUGGGCAUCUUAGCGGAUGAGGAGCUUAAACCGUAGGUGACGGAGGUAAAAAACGUCUGUGAUAGGUUGAUGACGAUCAAGUUGAUCAUUGGGAGGUUUACGUUGCAUGUGUAUAGUGUUUAUGCUUCGCAGGUGGGCUUGGGAGAGGAGGUGAAAUCAGGGUUUUGGGAGGCUUUGGACGAGGUGGUGAGAGACGUGCCUAGCUCGGAGAAGAUUGUUAUAGCGGAGGACUUCAAUGGGCACAUUGGGGUUGUGCCGGGAGGUUAUGAUAAUGUGCAUAGAGGUUUUGGUUUUGGUGAUAGGAAUAAGGAAGGAGCAUCUUUGUUGGAUUUUAUGAGGGCUUUUGGGUUGGUGGUGGUGAAUUUGAGCUUUCCGAAGAAGGAGGAUCACCUGAUUACCUUUCGAAGUGCGAUAGCCAAGACUUAGAUUGACUUUAUGCUGCUAAGAAAGGGGAUAGGGUUUUAUGUAAGGACUAUAAAGUCAUUCCGAGUGAGUAUUUUUUGACUCAACACAGGCUUCUGGUGAUGGACUUAUUUAUGAAGAGGACCAAAAAGAGGAGGGUCGAGGAGGGUCGGCCUAGAAUUAGGUGGGGUGGCUUGACGCCAGAUAGUGCACUGAAUAUAGAAUAGAAAGUAGAGGUUUUGGGGGCGUGGGAUUGUAGAGGAGACGUGGAUGCCAUGUGGGAUAAGGCUACCAAUUGCAUCACGGAGACUGCUAGAGAAGUGUUGGGUGUUUCGAGGGGUCGGGCAGGACGACAUAAGGGGGACUGGUGAUGGAAUCAAGAUGUUAAGAAGAAAGUGGAGAUUAAGAAAGAGGCGUAUGUUAAGCUGUUUGAGAGUAAAGAUGCAGAUGAGAAGGGAUGAAUUGAGAGGUCUAUAAAUUAGCAAAGAAGGAGGCUAAAGGAGUUUGUAUAGGCUUGCUAAGGCUAGGGAGCGGAAGGGUCGGGACCUCGACCAAGUGAAGUACAUUAAGGGGGAGGAUGGUAGAGUUUUGGUGGAGGAUGCCCAUAUUAAGAAGAGAAGCGGGAGUAUUUACAUAGGUUUUUGAACGAGGAAGGGGACAGAGGCAUUGAGUUAGGUGGGCUGGAACACUCGGAGGAGAGACGUGAUUUCAGUUAUUGUAGACGCUUUAAGGUUGAGGAGGUUAGAGAAACUAUUCGUACGAUGCAGAGGGGAAGAACGACAGGGCUUGAUGAGAUUUCGAUGGAUUUUGGGAAGUUUUCAGGUAGGGCAGGGUUAAAGUGGUUAGCUGAUUUAUUUAACGGCAUUUUCAAGACGACGAGGAUGCCUGAAGCCUGGAAGUGGAGUACGAUGAUUCCUUUAUACAAAAACAAAGGGGACAUUCAGAGUUGCACCAACUAUAGGGGUAUCAAGCUGCUGAGUCAUACUAUGAAGAUUUGGAAGAGGGUGGUGAAGAGAUUGGUGGAACAAUAUAGGGUAAGAAAGAGGGAUUUGCACAUGGUAUUCAUCGACUUGGAGAAGGAUUAUGACAAAGUCCCUAGGGAGGUUCUUUGGAGAUGCUUAGAGGCAAGAGAGGUCCUGGUGGUGUACAUCAGAGCUAUUAAGUACAUGUAUGAUGGAGGAAUAUGAGAAUGGCAGGAAGGGACUCAGAAUAUUUUUCAGUCGAGACAGGGUUGCAUUAGGGUUCGACUCUUAGCCCGUUCCUGUUUGUGUUGGUGAUGGAUGUGUUGACGCGAUGUAUUCAAGGGGAGGUACCAUAGUGUAUGUUGUUUGCGGAUGAUGUAGUGUUGAUUGACGAGAUGCGAGGGGGUAUGAAUGAAAAAUUGGAGGUUUGGAUGCAAACCCUGGAGUCUAAAGGGUUCAGGUUGAGUAGGUUCAAGACAGAGUAUAUAGAAUGCAAGUUUAGCGACUUGAGGUAGGAGGACGAUGUGGUGGUAAGGCUGGAUUUCCAGGAUGUUUGUAAGAGGGAUAGUUUUAAGUAUCUUGGGUCUAUGAUUCAAGAGAAUGACGAGAUUAAUGAGGAUAUCUCUAACCGUAUUGGAGCAGGUUGGAUGAAGUGGAGGCUCGCCUCGGGUGUGUUGUGUGAUAAGAAGGUGCCACUUAAGCUUAAAGGCAAAUUUUAUAAAGUGGCAGUCCGUCCAGCUAUAUUAUAUGGAGCAGAGUAUUGGCCAGUCAAGAACUCCCAUAUUCAAAAUUGAAGGUGGAGAAAAUGAAAAUAUUGCGUUGGACGUGUGAACUUACUAGAGGGGAUAGAGUUUAGAAUGAGAUAGUUCGGGAGAAGGUGGGAGUGGCUUCGGUGGAGGACAAGAUGCGAGAAGGAAGGCUGAGAUGGUUUGGGCAUGUGAUGAUGAGGGGCACAGAUGCCCUAGUUCGUAAAUGUGAGAGGCUAGUGUUGGAUGGCUUUCAGAGGAGGAGAGGUAGGCCGAAGAAGUACCGAAGAAAAGUAAUUAGACAUGAUAUGGAGCAGCUACAACUUACUGAGGACAUGACACUAGAUAGGAAGGUGUGGAGGUAUGGAUUGCGUACAUUCUACCCUUCCCAGAUCCUACUUUGUGGGAAUACAUUGGAUUUUUUGUUGUUGUUGUUGUUAUUCUUCUAAAAUUUGAAUAAAAAUAUCACAAGCACGAGCUAAAUAGGUUUAUCUAACCAUAAUCGAUUGAAUAGAGUAAAUAUAUUUUGAUAACUAUGAUUGAUGAAUAUAUAUCUAUAUAUCUAUAUCUAUAUAUAUAUAUAUAUAUAUUUUAUGUAUUCUUAAAUUUGUUGAUGAAAAUUCUUAAUUACUUUCACUUGAAUUAAUUAUUUUAUUAAAUUUGGUCUUUUUAAAAAAAAUUAUGAAAGAAUUAUUUCUGAAUAGAUUAGUGCUAAUUUUUUUGCUUUUUAGAAUUAUUUCUGAAUAGAUUAGUGCUAAUUUUUUGCUUUUUCUUUAUUGAUGAUAUUGAUUUUCCUUGAAUAUUAUUGUAUCGUAAAUAUGGAUCGUUAUGUUACGUUUGAUAUGCGACUUUAUUGAACACUUUUUAAUAAUUUAUUAAAAUCAUAAUAGCUAUUAUAUGACAUAUACAAAAAAUUAAAAUGACAAGAAAAAAAUAUUAAAUUUCUCACUUUUAAAUAACAUAAUGUACUAGGCCUUACAUUUUAUAAUAUAGUUCAUUCAAAACAAAGUUGAUAUAUUUCCGCCAUAAAUUGCCAUUUAUUAUUUUUUACUUCACGUUAGUAAAUUUUGGUUAAAAGAAGAAAAAGAGAUUAGAAUAUCUGUAACAAUUAAAAAUGAUGUUGUAUCAUAGAAAAUAAAUAAUAAUUUUUUUCUUGGUGGUUAGUUGUAGUUAUAAGAGGUGUUUGUGUAAAAAUUUAAAGAUUGGGGUUAUAUCUAAUAAUAAUGAAAGCUGAAAAUGGGAGUGAAAAAUUGUGAAAACAAGAAAAAAUUAUUUUAACUUUUUGAAACCCAACUCCGAAAUAAUUUUUUGAAUUUUCAUGGCCAAACACCACAAUUUUCGAAAAAGUGAAAAAAAAUUUCGGUAAAAAGGAAAAUUUUUUUAUGGCCAAACGGGCCCUUAGUUUAUUCAAAAUUUUAAAUUCCUGAAAAAUAUCAUCAUCGAACAUCUAAAAUUUUGACUAAAGUAUAAUUAAUAUUUUUGAUGAAUUUCACACAAAAUUUUCGUCGUAAAUUAAUGUUUUUUAGUAACAUACUUAGAGCUCGUUUGAUCGAAGAGGGCUCGUUUGAUCGAAGAACAAGUUAUUUUGGAUUAGCUUAAAGGCCGUCAAAAAUGCAAACAACUUUUUUGAAAAUUAUCUUGACAAAAAUUAUUUGACCAUACAAUUGUUUUAAGCAAAGAACUCAAGUUCUCAAAAACUAAAAAUAAAUAAAUUAGACCAAAUUCUAAAUUUUGAAUAUUUUAUAUAAGUUUAAAUUUUCCACAUAUUUUAUAUUUUAUAAAAACCCCCACCUAUAAUGACCUGAAUUUAUGAUUUUUUUUAUUUUCAUAUGUUUUGAUCAUUUUUUCCUUCUCCGUAUUUGCUACAUAUUGAUUUUGAGGUUCAAGGAUGGUUGACUCGAUCCCCAAUGCGAUCAAGAAUAAUUUAUGUGAAUUUGUGAUUUUAGAGGCUUGAGAAGCUAUAUAGUUCACUUUGAUCAAUAUUUGUUGUUUUGAGAGGCGGAUGACAUAGUGGACUGGGCCAGCAGAUCCAAAAUAUCGAAUUUGAUUUAGUAACGAGGUUGAUUCGAAUUCAAAGCUUUUAUAUCUCAUUUUGAUUCUUGAUUUCAAUAUAGUGAAAAUGGGAUCUCGGAGGUUAAUUUAGUGAAAACAAUAUUUUUUUAAAAAUUCAACAACGUCAUUGAGUCUGGAAUAUCAAAUUUAGCCUAGUUGCAUAUAUGAUUAUUUCUGUCGGAAUUCGAAUGAAUCUUAAGGGUCUGUUCGGAGACAUUUCUCCACUUGGAAAAUCUAUUGGUGCAAUAUUUUCUGGCGCAUCAGGUCAUCCUUCGCGAUUGCAUGAUCACAUGUCGCGAUCGCGGACCUCGAUGAUGGAACAUAUCGCGAUCACAUGGUGGAGGUAACACGAUCACGAUGGGUUAAUUGGUGGAACGGGUAGGGUUGAAUCAUCGCGAUGGCGAGGCCCAGCUACGCGACCACAAUGACCAUCCUUAUUUUCGAUCAAUGUUGGCCCUCACAGUCGCAAAGUGAAGGCUUGUGAUCGCAAGGCACUGCUCACUCAACAGUCUAAAAUCCUUUUUUUCACAUUUUUCUUCAUUUUUUGAUCUUUGAUCUUUAGGUUUAGGCUAUUUUCGAGGGUUUCUUCACCGUUUGAUCUUGAAUAAAAUUCCAAAAUCCUAUUCCCAUUAUUUUUCAAUGCUAAUAUCCUCAAAAACAACUUUAAAUCAUGUUUUCAAAAUAAAAAAUUGAAGAUUUUAUUGGUAAAGUUUAAAAAGAAUUUUUCUUCAAUUUGAACCUCAUUUUAAACUUAUUUUCAUGUGGGUUUUCUCAUGUAGACUCCUAUAACUUUGAGGAAUGUGUUUUUAAAAUAAAAUUUUAAUUUCACACCUUUUAUUUUCAAAGUCAUUUUGGAUCCUGCCCGAAUAUUGACAAUAUGGAUAUUGUUAGCUUUCUUUUGACACAUAGUUAUUAUAUUUGAAUGUUGUAGUCGAUUUCGAGAUCCUUCGAAAAGGGAAGGCUCCGAGUUGAAGCGUCUUAGGUUGAAAUUUCAUCAUUUCAAAGUAGGUUAUGACUAAACUUCUUUCAAAUUGAGCUGGGUAGGUAAUAAAUAAGUAAAGCAUGUUAUGGGUUAAGGGGAGAUAACUAUGGAGUUUAUAUUUUGAGAUUAUUUUUACUGUUGUAUGCUCAUUUGGGGGCUUAUAUUUUGUUGUAAUUGAUUUGUGAUAUCUGAUAUUGUGUGUUGGUCAUUUGGGGGAUUUUUUUGACAUCAUUGGCCUUAUUUGUGCGAAAUGCCUUUAUUCAAAAUAUGACGUCCAUGAGGGAACUUAUUUUGCUAACCAGGCUUUAUUUGGGCAUUGAUUGCAUUGAUCGUGAUAAAAACACUCGAGAUAGGGUUUGAUAUGAUAUUAAUGAUGUCUUAUAUGCAUAUUUCUUCUGAUGGUACCUAAUUGGAGUUGAUGAUCAUGAAUUAUGGACACACACACAUAUGUAUAAAAUAUUAAAAGUGUGAAGAACCUUAGAAUUGUUGUUUGAACUUUUUGCCCUUCAUUAAAAGUUUCUACUUUAGCCAAAAUCGUCUUUUCACUAUUUUUUUCCUAAUAUUUAAGAUUUGAAAAUUAGUUAAAUAUAUUUAUGGUAAAACCUUUCCUUAUUAGAAGUCAUCAGCAUUAAUGACAAUUAAUACCUUUUUUCAUUAGUUUGAGAAUUCUAAUCAACUAAAUUUGAUUUUAAGAAGAUUUGAAAAGUCUAUAAUUUUUUCAUUAGUUUAAAAAUUCUAAAUCAACAAAAUUUGGUUUUAAGAAAAUUUGAAAAAUCUAGAAAUAAAUAUAAAAACGUUAGAAUAAGAAAAAUUUAAGAAGUACCAAAGUUUUAAAAGUUUUACAUACGUAAUAAGAAUGUAAUAAAUGAUUUUAUAAAGAUUUGACAUUAAAAAUAAGAAAAAUUUUAAAUAUAGAAGAAAAAAUAAAAAUAAUCAUAUCACAAAUAUGUUUUAAAUUGAUGCGUCUCUCUUAUCCUAUGACAGCAGGGGAAAAAGGUACUGAAUGACAAACACAAAAGUGAUGAUCGACAACCACUUUAAACUUCUGGUGGUUAUAUUUGCUUACACUAUAAUAUAUAUUUAUGUUUAUAUUAUUCAAUUAAAAUAUGAAGGAUCUUUGAAAAAUGAGUUAAACUUUUUACACUUCACUAAAAGAAUUUGACCAAUGAUCAAAAUUAUUUAAUUUUAAAUAAUCAAAUGUUAUACGUACAAAACACAUGCGAUUAUACUAGUAUAUAUAUGUGUGUGUGUGUGUGUGUGUGCGUUGAAUGGAUUGAAUAUUAUCAUUUAGGUUGAUUGUGAACUUUACAUCUGCAUUUCAUACAUAUACGUUCAUGAGAUACUGGUACCACUGAGAAACACUAUUUUUGAUAGAAAAUGAAACAUUUUUAUGAAAAUUCUCUUCGUGAAUAUGAGCCGGAGAUGUGAGUUGAGUUUUAGAUUAAGUUUGAGAUAUAGUAUAUUGAUUGUGAACCCUCAUGGGUCCUACCUAAUAGCUACAAGCUUGGCGGGUAUAUACAAAAUGUUAUGUGAUAGCUUUUAUCAUUCAUCCCAUCCACAUUGCAUUUGGAUAUGUGAUGUGUCAUUGUUUCAUGGCACUUUGGAUGCUUAAAACCAAAAAAUAUGCAAGUAGGUAGGUCUAUUUUGCUAGCUAUGAUGUGUUUUUGUGUCUAUGUUGCAAAAAAUUAGGUUUUGGAGCUUAAAUAAAGAAAAAGAGUUGAUGUUGCGCAGGAAAUCCUACAUACGAGCCUACUUACGUGGUGUAGGUACUACCUACGACCAUCUAAAUGGCUGCAUGGGUCUCCAGGAUUGCAAGUUUAGAGACCUUUAAAGUUUAAGUUUUUGUCUGAUUUUAAUGAAGGACUACUUACGGCGCAUAAGUACCAGUUACACCAGCAUAAGUACCAUCAUGGGUGUCAGAGGUUGAAGAUUAGAGACUCUGAAGUUUGAAGAUUUUAUCUGAUAGUUACGUGAGGCUACCUACGGGUCGUAAGUACCGCCU
rnacentral:lncRNA from 1 species